rnacentral:tRNA from 1 species
GCCUCUCUAGCUCAGCUGGUAGAGCAGUUGAUUCGUAAUCAACAGGUCGGCGGUUCAAGUCCGCUGGGAGGCU